rnacentral:rRNA from 1 species
UACGGAGGGUGCAAGCGUUAAUCGGAAUUACUGGGCGUAAAGGGCGCGUAGGCGGUUUCUUGCGUCCCACGUGAAAGCCCCUGGCUCAACCAGGGAGGGUCGUGGGAAACGGGGGAACUGGAGGCAGCGAGAGGCUGGUGGAAUUCCCGGAGUAGUGGUGAAAUGCGUAGAGAUCGGGAGGAACACCAGUGGCGAAGGCGGCUUCCUGGCCUGUUCUUGACGCUGAGGCGCGAAAGCUAGGGUAGCAAACGGG